rnacentral:sRNA from 1 species
CUUUUUUGCUAUCUGCGAUUUAUAAGACCCGAACCUGCCGCAGGUUCGGGUCGAACGCAGUGAGACAACGGAGCCGUUUACGGCGACGGCCCGAAGGGCGAGCAAAGCGAGUCAUCCUGCACGACCCACCA